CCCAUUGCGAAGGCGAUCUGCUGGAACUCAACUGACGCUAAUGCGUGAAAGCGUGGGGAGCAAACAGGAUUAGAUACCCUGGUAGUCCACGCCCUAAACGAUGUAUACUAGUUGUUGCUGUGCUAGUCACGGCAGUAAUGCACCUAACGGAUUAAGUAUACCGCCUGGGGAGUACGGUCGCAAGAUUAAAACUCAAAGGAAUAGACGGGGACCCGCACAAGCGGUGGAGCAUGUGGUUUAAUUCGAAGAUACGCGAAGAACCUUACCUGGGCUUGAUAUCCAACUAAUCUCUUAGAGAUAAGAGAGUGCUAGCUUGCUAGAAAGUUGAGACAGGUGCUGCACGGCUGUCGUCAGCUCGUGUCGUGAGAUGUUGGGUUAAGUCCCGCAACGAGCGCAACCCACGUAUUUAGUUGCUAACAGUUCGGCUGAGCACUCUAAAUAGACUGCCUUCGCAAGGAGGAGGAAGGUGUGGACGACGUCAAGUCAUCAUGGCCCUUAUGCCCAGGGCGACACACGUGCUACAAUGGCAUAUACAAUGAGAUGCAAUAUCGCGAGAUGGAGCAAAUCUAUAAAAUAUGUCCCAGUUCGGAUUGGAGUCUGCAACUCGACUCCAUGAAGCCGGAAUCGCUAGUAAUCGUAGAUCAGCCAUGCUACGGUGAAUACGUUCCCGGGUCUUGUACUCACCGCCCGU
rnacentral:rRNA from 1 species